rnacentral:rRNA from 1 species
UACGUAGGGUGCAAGCGUUAAUCGGAAUUACUGGGCGUAAAGCGUGCGCAGGCGGUUUUGCGAGGCCGCCGUGAAAUCCCCGGGCUUAACCUGGGAAUGGCAUUGGGGACUGUACGGCUAGAGUGUGUCAGGGGGGGGUAGAAUUCCACGUGUAGCAGUGAAAUGCGUAGAGAUGUGGAGGAAUACCGAUGGCGAAGGCAGCCCCCUGGGAUAACACUGACGCUCAUGCACGAAAGCGUGGGGAGCAAACAGG